AGGAAGGCAUUUUAGGCUGUGACAGAUUUCAACCAGUCAGCUGUUGAAGAGAUGGCAGGCAAUGAGUCUGGCAUGUUCUAUGGGAAGAAAACAGAAACACCUGCAGCUUGUCUGACUGAGGCAGAAGAAACUGAUGGGAACAAUGUUCGGAGGGAAUGACUGAUGAAUGCUUGAUGGUGCUGUUUCAAGAGGAGACCUGGACGUCGGAACUGCACUCUCCUUACGGCAGGAGCCAACAUCAGUUUGCUGCAAGGGAGGAGAAUGAGGACUAUGGUAUCAAUCGGAGUCCCACAGGAAACCAGUGACACACUCAAAAUAUGUGAUCGAGAGUUCCACAGAGGGGCCAUUGACAAAGGUGGAGCUGGUUUGGAGAAAAGCAGCAAGGAAUGCAGAAGCCUCAGAACCAGCAGCAGCAGGAAGCCACUGGCACCGAGGGACAAGGGGUAGGGAGCGACAAGGGAAACCAAGAAUGAUCUGGAUAAUGGAGAAACCUGUGAAUACAACUGGAUUUGAAUCACACUACUGGCUUCAAUUCACACAACCGGAUUGGGAUCCCACUGUGUAAUUUUAGGCAAG